rnacentral:lncRNA from 1 species
GUGAGCGUGGAGGCACAGGAUAGGGGCCCCCGCGACGCCGGGCCGGGCCGGGCCGGACCGUCCCGCCCCGCCACCGCCGCCUCCUCGGAGCCCUCACCUUCACGGGGGGGCGCCCAAAAGGCGGAUGGAGGUGGUUUGGUUGGUUUGCUACCUGGGGCGGGGAGCGGGGGGAGACGGGGGCGGGUCUGGCCGCUGCAUAAACCGCCCUCUGCCAGGGGCGGCGGGACAGGACUGGCCGGGCCGGGCCGGGCGCCAGGUCAAAGAGGGGGCGCCCCCCGCGCAGCCCCCCAACAUGAGCCCCCGUCCGGCAGCCUCGGGGGAGGCCAGGCCGGGGGGAGGCCAGGCCGAGCCGAGCCCGAAACCGAGCCCGAGCCGAGCCCCCGAAAUGCCUCGAUUGCGGGCCGGAGCGGGGCCUCCUUAAGAGGGGCGGGGCUGCGGGGGCCGGCGCGGCCUCUCGCUGAUUGGCGGGCGGGGCCGGGGGGGCGGGGCCCGGGCCCGAGCUCUAUAAAUAUUUAUGAGCGCGGCGGCUGGAGGCGAGCGGGGGCCGGACACGGGCAAGUUGGGCAAAGGGCGCUGCUCCCGCGGCGGCGAAGGCGAAGGCGGCGGCGGCAGCACCAUCACCAUCACCCUCACCCUCACCCUCAUCAUCAUCAUCAUCAUCCCCUCCACCAGCAGCAGCAGCAGCAGCAGCAGCAGCUCAGGUGGUCCGGGGCGAGCCAAGGACCUGCCCUGCAGCCUCCCGCCGACCAGGACCGGCCCGGACCCCGGCGGGGAGGUGCGGGGCCGUGCGGGGCCAAGCGGGGCCGUGCGGGGCCAAGCGGGGCCGGAGGGAAGGUCGCCGAGGUGAAGGCGGGGCCGCGACCCCGCCGCUCCGCUGUCUGGGCGCUCCCAGCCGUCUCGACUCGGCACCACGGGGGCCGGAGGGGCAACUUGCCGCCGCCGCCCCCCCCGCUUCCCGGCCGGGCAGAGUCACCGUGGGCGCGGGAGGAGCGGGGGCCGCGGCGCCGGGGGUCCGGGCCGAGGAAAAGGCGCCCACGCCCAGCGCCCCAGCGGGAGGAGGAUGGGACCGCGUCCCGCAAGCCCGCUCCGGGGCCACUGAAGCGGCCCGGACCGAAUCGCUCCCUCUCCGUCUCUUUGGGCACCGCAGAAGGGGAGGCGGCGGAGAGGGACCGGCCGAGGGGACCGGAGGUGGGGGACGAGGAGGGGCAGGAGGGAGGACCGGCCCUGUCCCCCGCCCGGCUCCACGCCCAGGCCAGCCGGGGGACCCUCCCUUGA